ACUCAAAUGAAUUGACGGGGGCCCGCACAAGCGGCGGAGCAUGUUGCUUAAUUCGACGCAACGCGAAGAACCUUACCAGGGUUUGACAUGCACGGUUGAGCCAUGGAGACAUGGUGUCCUUCGGGGCCGUGUGCAGGUGGUGCAUGGCUGUCGUCAGCUCGUGUCGUGAGAUGUUGGGUUAAGUCCCGCAACGAGCGCAACCCUUGCCCUAUGUUGCCAGCGGCGCCUUCGGGUGGCCGGGAACUCAUGGGGGACUGCCGGGGUCAACUCGGAGGAAGGUGGGGAUGACGUCAAGUCAUCAUGCCCCUUAUGUCCUGGGCUGCAAACAUGCUACAAUGGCCGGUACAGCGGGCUGCGAUACCGUGAGGUGGAGCGAAUCCCGAAAAGCCGGUCUCAGUUCGGAUCGGAGUCUGCAACUCGACUUCGUGAAGUUGGAGUCGCUAGUAAUCGCGAAUCAGCAAUGUCGCGGUGAAUACGUUCCCGGGCCUUGUACACACCGCCCGU
rnacentral:rRNA from 1 species